CAGGUAAAGAAGUAAAAAGAAGUAAAGAGCCAAGUGUGAUAUCAGUGACUGGUAGCAGCUCUGGAAUCAUCAAUCAUAUUUUGCAGACUUGGGUGGAAAAUAAGUGCCCUUUAAGCUGUGCCCUGCAGUUCUUGCCUCAGUCUGUGCCCUCUUUUGCAGCCUGAGUCGCGUGGACUGACACUGAUCCCUGCCGAGCCAGGAACAUCUGCUCUAGGGAGGCCGUUCUGCCAGGGCAUGGGAGAAGUAAGUCCAUUGGUAUGGCCUUCUUUUUCAUCUUGAUGGAAAAUGCCUGGGACAAGGAGCCACCUCCUUUCAGCUCCACACUUGCACCAUCAACGCUAAUGCUGAGGUCCCCCUUGACUUUGUCAACAGUGACCUUUGUGAGACCAAAUUGGCUGGAAUCUGGACCAUCUUCCGAGGGAAGGAGGGACUCUGAAAUGAUUCCAUGCAUUUGCUACAGCAGGAUGGCACAGACUCAGCACUGCAGCAGCACACUGUCCAGUUUGAACUCUGUGUACUCAUAGUAGGGAUCUGAGCGGAAUAUGGUAUUUUGUUUUCUUUUUUGUGU